rnacentral:rRNA from 1 species
AUGGGGGAAACCCUGAUGCAGCGAUGCCGCGUGAGUGAAGAAGGCCUUUGGGUUGUAAAACUCUUUCGUCGGGGAAGAAAAUGACUGUACCCGAAUAAGAAGGUCCGGCUAACUUCGUGCCAGCAGCCGCGGUAAUACGAAGGGACCUAGCGUAGUUCGGAAUUACUGGGCUUAAAGAGCUCGUAGGUGGUUAAAAAAGUUGAUGGUGAAAUCCCAAGGCUCAACCUUGGAACUGCCAUCAAAACUUUUUAGCUAGAGUGUGAUAGAGGUAAGUGGAAUUUCUAGUGUAGAGGUGAAAUUCGUAGAUAUUAGAAAGAACACCAAAUGCGAAGGCAACUUACUGGGUCACUACUGACACUGAGGAGCGAAAGCAUGGGUAGCGAAGAGGAUU